rnacentral:rRNA from 1 species
UACGUAGGGGGCGAGCGUUGUCCGGAAUCAUUGGGCGUAAAGCGCGUGUAGGCGGCUUGAUAAGUCUGGUGUGAAAUCCUGGGGCUCAACCCCAGACCUGCACUGGAUACUGUCAAGCUUGAGUCCGGGAGGGGAGAGCGGAAUUCCUAGUGUAGCGGUGAAAUGCGCAGAUAUUAGGAAGAACACCGGUGGCGAAGGCGGCUCUCUGGAACGGUACUGACGCUGAGACGCGAAAGCGUGGGGAGCGAACAGG